CUUCUCUUUUGCGACGGCAAAAACUGAGGGGUCGCCAUUGUGCAAAAUAUUUGCGACGGUAACAACUGCCGUCGCCACUGGGCGUGGCAAACCCAAUGGUUUACUUCGGCAAGAGUUAGCCGUAGUAAAACUAAAAUACUAAGAGUUUGCGACUGUAAAAGACAUGCGGUCGCGUUUCUUCAAUUCUUCCCGUGGUAUGAAAACCACGACAAUCGCCCUCUGCUCAAAAAGAGAAAAAAACUCUCUCAAAACGGAGGCCGAUCUCUUCGUCUCUCUUGUCCACCCUCUCUCUCCCUCAUCGCAAAUCCCAUCUUCCGCCAAUACUUCUGUCUAAGCUCUUCCUUAUCGGCAAACCAGAUUGGGGAAAUCUUUUGGGGGUAUCGUUCAGAUCUAGAUCCCUUACCUGCAAAAGAGUCAAUUGGGUCGCUUAUCGUAAACGACGACGGUGAGUCGGUUUUCGGGGAGCUCUAGCUGGCUGGAGACCAGAGCUAAGAUGGGUUUCAGUUUAGGAUUCUUGGUCGGAAUCUUUGGAGUUCUAAUUCUCUCUCAUGCCGCUUAAUCAACUGUUUAGUGUAGCAGGAAUAGUGGAUUAAAUUCUGCACAACACCUUUUGGCUGGUGAAACAGGUUGAACGUUUUUGAUACAUAGUUUAAGGAAAGCGGGGGUCAAUUUGCACAAGAACAUAUUGCCCCCACAUGAAAACUCAUGGGAGAGUUUAAUCGAUCUUCAUGGAAUUAUUGCCCCAGUCAAUCUCUUGCUGCAAAUGGAAGCAAACCACGAGGUCCCAUCAAGUCUUGUCCUUUCCUGUCCUUUUAGCCUUAAUCAUGGUGAAGAAAGAGCAGCAAGACGGAAAGAGUUCUUUGAGAGGCUGGAAGAAAAGAAAAGUGGAGAGGCAGAAAGUAAGCAGCUGCAAAUGAGAGAUCUAACAGGAUGACAAAUUUACAACAGAAGUUCUCAUAGGUCAACCAAUAUGGUGAUGCGAAAUCAACAUAAUUGACAUUACUUGCCAUUCAACAAAUCAACUCAAGCAUUAUGAUUUUCAUUCUGAUGAUGAUGCGAAAUGUUAUAUUCUAUUUAAUUGCAUCACUCUCAACUUUUAAGCAGAUGCUUAAAGGAGAUCCACCACUUUCAAAUUACGAGCCUCAUGAAACAGCCAAAUUUGUUGCAAAAGGACACACCCCUGAACUGAAAAAUGUAGGACCUAUUGCUAUAGAGAGAAGAAGAGUGGUGGAGGAGGAGAUAGACACAAAGAAGAACAUAGCUAUCAAUGAAUGAAUGAAGCAAAGAAGAAUACCAAUGCGGUUGAACUUAUGCGCUUGAAUUCUGAUUAUGUAGGUCAUGAUACUUAGCCUACUGAGCGUCAGCAUUAUGUAUUUUAAUUUUUGAAUGUUUUUGUAUUUUCAAGAUUGGUGAAGUUGUAUGAAAUGUAUAGAAAUAA